rnacentral:rRNA from 1 species
AGAUGGGACUAAGGUAUGCUAAUCGAACGACCAGAACUAUGUCUGGGAGUGGCACACUGCUCAGUAACACGUAGCUAACCUACCCUUAGGACGUGGAUACCCCCGAGAAAUUGGGGUUAAUCCGCGAUAGAUGUAAUGUCCUGGAAUGGUAUUACGUCUAAAGGUAUUUCAUACAUGUUUGAAAUAUGCCUAAGGAUGGGGCUGCGGCCGAUCAGGCUGUUGGUGAGGUAAUGGCUCACCAAACCUUUGACCGGUACGGGCCAUGAGAGUGGUAGCCCGGAGAUGGACACUGAGACAAGGGUCCAGGCCCUAAGGGGCGCAGCAACCGCGAAACCUCCACAAUGCACUCACGUGCGAUGGGGCUAUCUCGAGUGCCACCUGAUGAAGGUGGCUUUUCCUUGGUCUUCAAAGCCUUGGGAAUAAGAGGGGGGCAAGACUGGUGUCAGCCGCCGCGGUAACACCAGCCCCUCGAGUGGUGGGGAUGAUUAUUUGGCCUAAAGCGUCCGUAGCCGGCCGUGAAAGUCUUCCGUUAAAUCCAGCGUCUCAAGCGUUGGACCGCGGGAGAUACUACAUGGCUAGAGAGUGGGAGAGGUCAGCGGUAUUCUGGGGGUAGGGGCGAAAUCCUUUGAUCCCCGGAGGACCACCAGUGGCGAAGGCUGCUGACUAGAACACGUCUGACGGUCAGGGACGAAAGCUGGGGUAGCGAACCGGAUUAGAUACCCGGGUAGUCCCAGCCGUAAACGAUGCAUGCUAGGUGUUGGGUUGGCCACGAGCCACCCCAGUGCCGCAGGGAAGCCGUUAAGCAUGCCGCCUGGGAAGUACG